rnacentral:rRNA from 1 species
GCAAGUCGAACGGUAACAGGUCUUCGGAUGCUGACGAGUGGCGAACGGGUGAGUAAUACAUCGGAACGUGCCCGAUCGUGGGGGAUAACGAGGCGAAAGCUUUGCUAAUACCGCAUACGAUCUACGGAUGAAAGCGGGGGAUCUUCGGACCUCGCGCGGACGGAGCGGCCGAUGGCAGAUUAGGUAGUUGGUGGGAUAAAAGCUUACCAAGCCGACGAUCUGUAGCUGGUCUGAGAGGAUGAUCAGCCACACUGGGACUGAGACACGGCCCAGACUCCUACGGGAGGCAGCAGUGGGGAAUUUUGGACAAUGGGCGAAAGCCUGAUCCAGCCAUGCCGCGUGCAGGAUGAAGGCCUUCGGGUUGUAAACUGCUUUUGUACGGAACGAAAAGCCUCUUUCUAAUAAAGAGGGGUCAUGACGGUACCGUAAGAAUAAGCACCGGCUAACUACGUGCCAGCAGCCGCGGUAAUACGUAGGGNGCAAGCGUUAA